ACUCAAAUGAAUUGACGGGGGCCCGCACAAGCGGUGGAGCAUGUGGUUUAAUUCGAUGCAACGCGAAGAACCUUACCUGCCCUUGACAUCCCUGGAACCCUGUAGAGAUAUGGGGGUGCCGAAAGGAACCAGGAGACAGGUGCUGCAUGGCUGUCGUCAGCUCGUGUUGUGAGAUGUUGGGUUAAGUCCCGUAACGAGCGCAACCCUUAUCCUUAGUUACCAGCGUGUAAUGACGGGGACUCUAAGGAGACUGCCGGUGGUGAACCGGAGGAAGGUGGGGACGACGUCAAGUCAUCAUGGCCUUUAUGGGCAGGGCUACACACGUGCUACAAUGGGGUAUACAAAGGGUAGCCAACCUGCGAAGGGGAGCUAAUCUCAGAAAACACCUCGUAGUCCGGAUCGAAGUCUGCAACUCGACUUCGUGAAGUUGGAAUCGCUAGUAAUCGCGAAUCAGAAUGUCGCGGUGAAUACGUUCCCGGGCCUUGUACACACCGCCCGU
rnacentral:rRNA from 1 species